UUUCCACCGCAAAUCUGCCCCCAUUCGUAUUCACCCACAGAAGGUCAAUUUCCCCUACCACCAUCGUCUGUUAUUCCGACCUGAACCUGUUCUGACCUGUCACCCACUCGACUUGCCCGGUUUGCCAAGUCUAUCCAUCACUCUUCGUAUGGUGGUAUGCGACUCGCUCGGUUGCCAGGUUAUUGCAGUUUUGUUGUCCAUUGAAGAAGUUGAAGAUUUCAAGGAAAUGUUUAAAAAGAUAUACAUCGAUGGUUAUUCAUUUGAAGAUGGAGUCAAAAGAGAAUUAUUCAUUUGAAGAUGGAGUCAAAAGAGUUGUUCUUUUAGCCCUCAAUGGCAUUAAGUGGAGGAAUGCCAGUUAGGGUUUUGACGAAGAUUUGCAUACAUGAAGCUGGAGAAUGAUUUGCACACCACCAUGAAGCUGGAGAACCGAUUGAUCAUCAAUUGUUACUUUGUUUUUAUU
rnacentral:lncRNA from 1 species